AUGGGCUUGGCACCGGGCUUCCUGGCGGGGCUUUCCCUGGGGCCUGCUGGUCUUCGGCUGGGACCCGGGGCUCUGGGAGGGCGACGGCGUUGCCCGAGGCAGGCUGCUCAGGGCUGGCUGGGAGUCACACUCGUCCUCGGCACGCUAGCCUUUCGUUACAGCUAUAAACCUCCACACAUCCUGACCUACCCCGCCCUCCACGGUCCUGGUAGGCCCUCCUCACAGAUGAGGACACAGGACACCAGCCCCCAGGCCACACCGCAGGCCCACGCGGGGCGCCAGGACGUGGCCACGCUGCCCCGGGCCUUGCUCCUUCGGAUGCGGACGCCGACACACAGAGCGCCCACGGAGAGGUCCUCACCCGCAGAGCAGACGUUCCUCCAGAGACAGACAAGGGCCUGUGGGGCCAGGAGGAGACUCCACAGGGAGCCCAGACUCACCGUCUAGGUGUUAACCUAGAGAUUAAAACAACGCGUCCACGCGAACACCGGGUUGCAAAUGUCCGGAGCGACUUCCUUCCUGAUGAUACAACGCGGUGAGCACCCCAGACGUUCCCGUCAAGCUCUCGAACGCGAGGCACCCGCGUUCACCCAUGAAGGAAUACCGCCCGUCUGGCCGGAGCCGACGCGCGCAGGGCGGAAGGGCUGAGCGACCGCUGGCGGCCUUCCGUGCGAACGCUCCGGAGAGAGCAGGUCUGCCCGCACGGGAACAGCUCCGCGGCCGCCAGAGGCUGGGCAGGGGGGCCUUCUUGGCACGACGGAAAUACUCGACAUCUGGAUUUGGGCGGUGCCCUGCUGUGUAUGCAUUUGUCAAACUCGUCAGACCGUGACUUUGUUAUAAGUUAAACCUCCCCGAACCUGAUUUAGGUACGAAAGCAGUGGGCUGCACCGGGUAGAAGACAGAGUGAUCUUGGCCGCGUCCCUGCAAACAGGACAGAAGAGGCCUGACGGAAGGGAGAGCCGCGCUGCUCUCGGGGAGAAGAGGGUGACGGGCAGGGGACGGUCCGGGCUGAAGUCCCACCGCGAGGCGCGCUCAGCCUUUCUGGGGGACCCUGCAAGGAUGGUGUGGCUGGC
rnacentral:lncRNA from 1 species